AGGAGGUUAUGUUUUCGGUAGCGUUUGUUUGUUUGUGUUUGUUUGUUUGUUUGUUUGCCUGUGAACAACUUUACAGAGAAAGUUACAGACGGAUUGACCUGAAAUUUUCACCAGAGGUGCGUCUCAGCCCCAGGACGAUCCCAUUACGUUUUGGUGGUGAUCCGGAUCGCCUUCUGGAUCCAGGAAUUUUUUGAAGGAUUCUUUAUCAUUGUGAGAUAGGGCACAUUUUGUAAUUUUUGCAUUUAACUCUAUAAAAAUGGCCAGAGUCUUUAGUAAAAAAUUACACAAAAAGAUCUCAAUGAGUUUUAUGAGGUGUCAAAGGUUGAUCCUGAUCCAGACAAAAUUCUGGAUACUGUGAUCCAGAACACACAAAAAUAAGGGUGUCGUUGGAAUUCUCAAUGUUGAAAGAUAACCAAUGAAGAUACAAGGAAGUGUACGCUUACAAAUAUUGCAUAAUAAAUCAUGCAUUUAUGUAUCUAGAAACAUUAUGAACAGUGAACAUACCAGUUUAAACACAAAUAAAAGUUAAUAAAAGACACGUAACAGUAAAAGUUUUGGUGUGAAUCACAAUAUAAGGGGGGACAUGAGCUGCUUGGCGGAGGUCUGCGCUCUCUGAGUGCUUUUCUAGUUCUUUAUGGAAUCUUAGACUUCUUGAUUAUUCAAUGUCAUGAACUGAUUUUUCUCACUGAAAGUUGUCUUUAGAAGUGGAUCAUGGUCACUGAUUUUUACAUCUCAGAGUUGUGUGUAAAACAAAUAAGCAGCUGUGCUUCAACCAUCCCUGACCUCACAUAUUUUUUCUGGAAUAUCAUCAAGAGAAACUGUGUGUCCAGGUAUGAAUUGAUCUCAUGUUGAACAUAGAUGCAUAACACUAAUACAAUCACUGACUGUGAAACCAUUGUUUAUAUAUCUUGGUAUGAACAUGUCCAUUGAUGAACCAAUUAUUUGUUUGAAUUGGUGAUGUUGUUGACCCUUCACAUACACACACAGACAGAUCUUCUUCAUUUAGUGAUCAAUCUAGGACCUCCUGUUCUGAUCUGCAUGUUUAAUGUGAAACAAACUCUGCUGUUAUGUAAUGUUUGCUGAUGUUACUCUCCUGAGGAUCUCCACAGCACACAGUCAGCAGCAGGUCCUAUUAUUAAGAAACAAAAAAAAGUCAUGACAGCAAUGAAAUAUUCAGGAGCAGUCAGUCUAGAAGAGCGAGAGGCUGUGGAAGUGUCACCCGGUUAUCUCGUCACCACUGGCAUGAGAACAAAUGAAGGGAGGAAGCACUUUCUGUCCUCUUUCUCUGCCAGUCAGUCACUGUUUCGCCUCCAGCGGUGAAACUUGCUGAGUGUGCAUCCUGUGAAUCAGUGUGUGUGUGUGUGUGUGUGUGUGGUUGUAUGUCGUCCUGGACGUUUCAUUAUAUAAGGACCACGGCAGCAGCAGCAGUGUUACAGAGUGACAUACAACGAGCGUCAUGGCCCGUGAGCCUGUGAAAAGCUUCAUCCAGCCGCUGCAGUGGAGUCAGAGUCCUGCAGUCCAUUUGCACAGCUCUCUUUAGUGUCUUCAUUACACGCUCAAUUAUCUGGGCCUGAGAUAAGAGCAGGAGGACUGGAUCAGCACCAGGACCAUUUUUUUCUCCAUAGGGAAUAAUGACAUUGUAAAGCGGUACCAUCAGAGUCUCUUGUUGACAAGAUACUUCAUCAGUCUAUGAAAAAAUACAAAUACAGGUAAAUAAUGCUAAGGUAACCAGCUCUGUUUGACACAAACAUGAUUAAUUUCAUGAGCUCUGCUACCCUCUAGUGGAGUUAAAAUAUUUCUACAUCAGGAUGCCUGAUGCUCCCUAAAAACACAGCUACACACUUGAUUUAAAUGUUAAUGUCAAUUAAGUUGAGACGUUGUGUAAAAUGUGAAUAAAAGCAGAAAAAAUGAUUAAUAAAUCUCUUCCACCUAUAGUCAGUUGAAUACACCACAAAAAUAUUUAAAGUUUAAACUGAUAAACUUGAUCGUUUUCUUAUAAAUAUUCACUCAUUUUGAAUUUGAUGUCGACUGCAAGUUCCUAAAAAGUUGGUUCAGGGUCAACAAAAGUCUGGGAAAACUGAGGACUGCUCCAAAAAGACAUGUUUGGUUCAUUCCACAGGUGAACAGGUUCAGUGGAAACAGGUGAGGGUCAUGACUGAGUACAUAGGGAGCAUCCCUGAAAGGCUCAGUCUUUCACAAGCAAGGAUGGCGCCAGGUUCACCACAUCGUCCACAACUGUGUGAUCAAAUAGUCCACCAGUUUAAGAACAACGUUUCUCAUGGUACAACUGCAGGAAUUUACAGAUUUGAUCACUUACAGUCCAUAAAACCAUCAAAAGAUUAAGAGAAUUAAUCUCUGCAUGUAAGCAGCAAGACCCAAUACCAACAAUGAAUGACUGUGACCUUUAACCCCUCGUGCCCACAUCAUUCUGUGGAGGAUUUUAUUACUUUGGCUCAGGAGGACUUCAGAAAACCAUUGUCAGUCAACAUAAGUUUAAACCUUACUAUGCAAAGCCAAAGUCAGACAUUAACAACAGCCAGAAACAAUGCAGGUUUCUCUGGACAUGAGCACAUCUGAGAUGGACUGACAAAAAGUGGAUAAGUCUGCUGUGGUCUGACCACUUCAUAUUUUAGAUAGUCUUUGGAAAUCAUGGGUGCGGUUUUCUCCUGGCUAAAGAGGAAAACGUGGGGAGCAUUAUGAUGUACAAAUUACCUCAAUGACAAUCCUAGACUGUUGAGCAUCUUAAGUGGUCCAUCAAUCAAGACUGUGAAAGAAAUCACCUCCAAAGCCUCAACAGUUAGUGUCCUCGGUUUACAAAGGCUUACUGAGUGUUGUUAAAGGAAAGGUGAUGUGACACAGAGAGAAACAUGACCCUGAACCAGCUUUUUAGGACAAUGUUCAGAAAUGAAAUUAAAAAUAAGUAAAUAUUUACAAACAAAAAAAACAAUCAAGUUUAUCCGUAUGAACAUUAAAUACUCUGUCGUUGUAGUGUAUUCAGUUGAAUAUAGAAAAAAUAACCAUGUUUCUACAGGCUCAUGGUGAGUUUUGUCUUUGGAAAAAUGGUAAUGUAGUAAUAGAGUGAGGAGAAGGUGAGGUUUAUUAUAUCGUACCAGGGAAAUAAAAACAAUAAAUAUAUAGGAUCAACAAACUCCGGUGUUCACAGAAAAUAAUUAAGACAAAUUAAAAAGACUGAAGGUACUGCCUGCAGCAUCUACAUGUCAGUCUCUACCUCUUUCUGCAGCUGGACCUUGUUGAACACCACCUACAUAAUGCCUUAAUAAAGGCUCAAAGAUUUACAGCAAAGGAUCAAACCAGUCUGAAUUUUUCUCAUCACUUGCUGCAGCUUCAAAAAUAUGAUGUAGAGAUUCAGUCAACACCAGAGGAUGCUGUUGCACUCACAACCUCUCAAAAAAGUGAGCUGCACUACCUACAACCAACCUAAAGUCCAGAAUAAACAGCAGGUACAAUAAUGAGAAACUGGUUAUCCUAAAACUGUUUUAACGUCUCAUCUAACUCGACAAAUGAUCCCAGUUUGUGGUCAGAGGUAUCACAGACUGACAUCACAUCACAUCCAGUGUGAAUUUUAACUGUUUUCUGAGUUGGUCAUCACUUCCCUAUCGUCUUUCUUGAUUCUAAUGUCUGGCACCAUACAGGGCUGGAAUGUAGCAGUGAAUACGUAGCCUAAAGCACCCCUCUUGCCAAUGCAUUAGUGGAUUGUUUUACUACAUGUCGUAGGAGGUCAACUGGGGCACAAAUCAUUGCAACUCAGCAUAGCAGGUUUCAUGUUGUGUUUAAGGACUGAGACCAGGACAGUACUCCAGUUUAAUCACUUAAUUGAGCCAUAAAGGAGUCUCAGUUUUUGGAAGUAUGUCUAUGACGGACAUGCUUUUGUUUUCUGCUUGGAGCUUGUAGACUGGGAUAAAGACAGCAGUUGAGUUAAAUGGCCUGAUUGAACUAUAACUACAGCUCCACUUAAAGGUGGAGUACGCAGGAAUCCGUAAAGAAACAUCUUUUCUUGUGGUGUAAAUACAAAAAAGCUUUUAAUAUCAGUCAAUAGCUAUUAGUUAUUGAUUACAUUUGGUAAUAUAACGAUAUAGCUGUGUUUUGUUAUGUCUGUGUAGUCAACAUUGUAACAUUUUUCAGCAGCACGCUCUUUCUGACUGUAAACAAAGCCCUUAUCCGCCUCCCCUAACCUGAUUGGUUGUGAGGCAGAUGCUGCUCCUUAGUGCUGAUUGGUUGUGAGGCAGACACUGCUCCCUCGUGUUGUGAGGCACGCUCCAGGGGCCUCAUUUAUCAACCGUGCGUACGCACAGAUGUGUGCGUAAAAAGUGCGUACGAACAUUCCCACGCAGAGUCUGGAAUUUAUCAACCUGUACUUGUGCUUAGGAACCUGCGUAAAUUUAAGCACAACUCUGACCAUGCGUACACACAAAACCUAGUGGUAGGACAGUAAAACUACAAAUAGAACCCAUUAAAGGAGUCACAGCGUUCCACAAUCUCAAACUCCACACAUGUUCAUGUUGCCUCUAUACAAAAUUUAUCAAUUAGUAAUUUAGCAGACAUUUUGAAUGAUUGGUGAGACAAGCUAUAAAAAUCUGCUGUGACAGGACAACCUCAAAAGAAGUCUUACAAGUACAAAUACAAGUAUCACGGUUUAUUUAUCAAGCUUGCAUACGGCAGAAAACUUGUGUAUACCCUGCGUACGAAAAUUUUGACUUGAGGAUCGGCAUUUAUCAAUCUGCACGUAAGCGUACGCUACGACCAAAUCUCACGUCUGACAGGUCUGACAUCGUGUACGCAAGUUUGAGUCAAUGUGGAUCUGCGGUGCAGCAAAUGUCUGUCUUAAAAUAAUUGAUAAACAAACCUCAAAGCUGUCAUUAAGCACAAUCAGCCAGAUUUCAGUAAAGAUUAAGACGUAAAUAAAAUAAUAUAAAUUUGUUAUGUCCUUAGUGAAUGGGCCUAUUUGAUAACUCUGCCCAGAAACACUGCCACAGAGCAGGAGCGCUGUUUUAUCAUUACACAUACGCGCGCCACUAUGGAGUGCUGCGUUUGACUCCUAAAAGACAGGUGUCUCUGUGUUGGCCCAGCAGCGGGGACGUUGUUGUACCCUCCUAAAAGGGUGUGGGACAUCAUUUGGGCUGUUACAGUUUUGCACAAUGUUGCUCUGGCGAAUGGAGUGCCGUUGGCUGUGCCUGUCCAACGUGAGGACCCGAUGCCCGGAGAACAAUAACGAGGAGAGACUCCACAAAGGUGCUGUACAGAGGAGACAGGACCUUAUCGAUGGAUUCUGACAUGUUAAAUAUAAGUUUAGAAGGUGCUCUUGCUAUUUAAUCGGUUACAAAAAUCUAAUAGAAAUCCAUUUAAUGUGCCUCAGGGGCAGCAACACACCGUUUGGUGAGGUUAAUAAUUAUUUUUGUUCAGCCAGUCUACAGUCUGCUCUACAUUACAAAGACGCAACAAAUUGAAACUACAUACUUUCAACAAUUGGAGCAACGUACCCUAUGUCAUGGCAAUAAAAAAUAUGAGGCAUGUAUGAGAUAUUAGUUUGUCAUCAUAAGCAACUUAUUGACUAAUGAUUUAUUCAAACUUCAGCAGUGCUGUUCAGUGCCACCAUAAUCCUGCUCCAGACAGGAUCUCUAGAUCUCAGCGACCAGAGUAAAAAACAGGCCCACAUAAAUCCUGAUCUAGUGUCUUUACACUGGUUCCCUGUACAUUUGAGACUAUAAGAUCUUCUUAUUCAGACACUUAUUAUUUGUCACUUUUAAAGCUCUCUAUGGGGUUUCCCCCAGCCAUAUUUUAGACCUGUUAAAAAGUACAUUAAGAUCCUUUGGAAGAGGUCUUCAGUGUAUUCCAAAAACCAGACUGAAGGUAACAAAGCAUUUGCAGUGAGAGAUGAUCUGCCUGAAGGAAUCAGGUCAGCUAAGUCAGAGAUCUAUUUUCAAUCUAUAAACAUAGUCCAUUUACAAUUUAAAUAGCAUUACCCAACUAAGACUCCAACCUUUCCAUAUCUGACAUCAUUAUCAUUAAUGCAGCCAGAGCCCAUACAGAAGCUUAUCAAAGAGCCUUAUCAUGGCAGGAUAGCUCGCUGGUGUCAAACUGAGAGUGAUUCGGGAUGGUGACUUCAUUUCCUUAUCCAGAGAAAUCGAUUGAAACCACCCAGCCUCAGAGCGGCUACCACCUACCAGCUUCAAACCUUUAGGAAGUGCCGACCCAGGAUGAAAUACUGCCCUGGGAUCCUGCUGGUUUCCAGUCACUGCGUGUGAGUGGCUACUGUAUCUUUUCAAUAGACGUCCCAGAUGAUAUGACCAUAACAGAUGCAGGUCAUGAAUCAAAGGUCUUAAACCACCCGGCUAGCUGAUGUCUUCAACAUGUGCUUCAGUCAGAUCUCUGAAACACAUCAUGGACACACCACAUAGAAACACACUCAGAACAGAACAGACUCUCCUGUCCCAGUGUCUGCUGUCCGCUUUGUCCUCUCUACCUGAUGUAGAUCUACAUCUGAAUCUUGCACAGACCACAUGGACGAUCCAGCCUCGUGUGAACUGAGCCUAUGAACGCAAUGACCCCAUCACUCCAACCAAACCUGCAAGAAAAUAAAGCCUGUGCAGAAAUUCGGCCCAGCCUUUAAAAGCAGAAGUCUUGUGGCUUUUCCUCGGCUCAGCUCGAGUUAGAAAAGCAUCAAAGUGCCUGAAAAUAAGGAUCACAUGUGUUUCAAAUAUGCUGAAAUUUAAUUGAUAAUAAAUUUGUGCUUAUGAAGACAUCAGACGGAGAAGUGCUUAAAGGUGUGGCUUUGUUGGAGGUGCAGGAAAUCAGAGAAGAAGAAAAGUAAACCAUGUGGUUUCAGCUUGUUUUUGGAGGUUUGAGUUUACUAAACCAAACAGUCUAGCUGCACCUGUUUUUAUAAAAUUCACUAGUUGAACUCAAUCCAAGCCACAGUGCAGGUGGUGUGUAAAUAUGUACCGACACUAUCUGUAAUAAAACCAAAAUUUAUAAGCACCAGUCUGCUGUUUUAAAGAUCUUCAAAGCACAGAGCUGGAGGCUGUAGUUCAGGAUGCAGAGCCAGAAUUUGCUCCCAAAUCAUUGAAAAAAGCUUUAAGUUUGACUUUGAAUCAACAUUUAUAGACUGUAAGGUAGUUUUUUCUCCAAGUGUGUUUGACUCUGUGUGGCCACAGUUAUAUUCCAGCAGAUAGGCGUGUGUUCCCUCACCUCUUCUGUUUGUGUGGUCUGGAGCUGCUCUGAACAGAGGCACAAAGUUCAGCUCGCUGAAGACUCUGUGAUCCAGUCCCAUCUUAGCAAUGAUGAUUCUGCUCACAGCCCAGUGCUGGAUAAAUUCAUUGACAAAUAAAGGCAUCACAGACAAAAGAAAUAAAAACUGUUAUUUACAAUUAUGAGAAACAGAAAUGCAGUGGCACAGAUAUUUCUGCACUGAAGUUGGUUAUACACUCACCUUGGAUACCCGAGUUGCUGCUGUUUUUUUUGUUUUGCAAUGGUCACAUGCUGUGGGUCAGGUUUGUGUUGUGAAUAUAAACAUUUACUUGGUUUGAACAAUUAUGACUUAUUGCAAGCAAAAAAUCUCAAAUACUAGAAAGUGUUUUUGUCUAAUUUGUCAUAAAAUGAUUUUUUUUAGGCUGAAUUUGAGCAACUUUUUUCAGACAGGUCCAGAUAAAUGUCAAAAUAUUAGGCUACUGCCAAAAUUGAAAAGUGCUUGAAAUGAGUAAGAAAAUAAUUGAAAAAUGGAAGAGGAAAAAUGUUCUUGUCAAGGUCUGGAACUACAAUGUUUUAUUUCUCCAAGUGCUGCACAGUGUUCAUUUUUCCAUCUAAUGCUGCAGCCCUGAAAGUGUCAAAGAAAAGAAUAUCAAGAUUCUUUCAGUUCUUUGUCACUCAAAAACAUUUUUCAAGACAUGCGAGUUAAUACAUUUGCCAGUAAUUGUUUCAACCACCUCUAUGUAUAACUAUUAUGCAUAACUAUGUCAACCACCUUUAUGUAGAACUAUUUAUGUAGGACUACUUCAACCACUGUUUUGUAGAACUAUUUAUUACCUCCGCCAGGGAGGUUAUGUUUUUGGUAGCGUUGGUUUGUAUGUCUGUUAGCAACUUUACGGAGAAAGUUACAGACGGAUUGACCUGAAAUUUUCACCAGAGGUGCGUCUCAGCCCCAGGACGAUCCCAUUACAUUUUGGUGGUGAUCCGGAUCGCCUUCUGGAUCCAGGAAUUUUUUGAAGGAUUCUUUAUCAUUGUGAGAUAGGGCACAUUUUGUAAUUUUUGCAUUUAACUCUAUAAAAAUGGCCAGAGUCUUUAGUAAAAAAUUACACAAAAGGAUCUCAAUGAGUUUUAUGAGGUGUCAAAGGUUGAUCCUGAUCCAGACAAAAUUCCAGAUACUGUGAUCCAGAAC
rnacentral:lncRNA from 1 species